rnacentral:rRNA from 1 species
AGAGUUUGAUCAUGGCUCAGGAUGAACGCUAGCUACAGGCUUAACACAUGCAAGUCGAGGGGGAAACGAUAUUGGAAGCUUGCUUCCGAUAGGCGUCGACCGGCGCACGGGUGAGUAACGCGUAUCCAACCUGCCCACCACUUGGGGAUAACCUUGCGAAAGUAAGACUAAUACCCAAUGACGUCUCUAGAAGACAUCUGAAAGAGAUUAAAGAUUUAUCGGUGAUGGAUGGGGAUGCGUCUGAUUAGCUUGUUGGCGGGGUAACGGCCACCAAGGCUACGAUCAGUAGGGGUUCUGAGAGGAACGGUCCCCCACAUUGGAACUGAGACCACGGUCCCAAACUCCGUACGGGGAGCA